GAUGAACGCUGGCGGCGUGACUAAUACAUGCAAGUCGAGCGAACAGACGAGGAGCUUGCUCCUCUGACGUUAGCGGCGGACGGGUGAGUAACACGUGGAUAACCUACCUAUAAGACUGGGAUAACUUCGGGAAACCGGAGCUAAUACCGGAUAAUAUAUUGAACCGCAUGGUUCAAUAGUGAAAGACGGUUUUGCUGUCACUUAUAGAUGGAUCCGCGCCGCAUUAGCUAGUUGGUAAGGUAACGGCUUACCAAGGCGACGAUGCGUAGCCGACCUGAGAGGGUGAUCGGCCACACUGGAACUGAGACACGGUCCAGACUCCUACGGGAGGCAGCAGUAGGGAAUCUUCCGCAAAGGGCGAAAGCCUGACGGAGCAACGCCGCGUGAGUGAUGAAGGUCUUCGGAUCGUAAAACUCUGUUAUUAGGGAAGAACAAAUGUGUAAGUAACUAUGCACGUCUUGACGGUACCUAAUCAGAAAGCCACGGCUAACUACGUG
rnacentral:rRNA from 1 species